GAGUAGCUUGCUACCUGACCUAGCGGCGGACGGGUGAGUAAUGCUUAGGAAUCUGCCUAUUAGUGGGGGACAACAUUCCGAAAGGAAUGCUAAUACCGCAUACGCCCUACGGGGGAAAGCAGGGGAUCUUCGGACCUUGCGCUAAUAGAUGAGCCUAAGUCAGAUUAGCUAGUUGGUGGGGUAAAGGCCUACCAAGGCGACGAUCUGUAGCGGGUCUGAGAGGAUGAUCCGCCACACUGGGACUGAGACACGGCCCAGACUCCUACGGGAGGCAGCAGUGGGGAAUAUUGGACAAUGGGCGCAAGCCUGAUCCAGCCAUGCCGCGUGUGUGAAGAGGGCCUUUUGGUUGUAAAGCACUUUAAGCGAGGAGGAGGCUACUUGGAUUAAUACUCUAGGAUAGUGGACGUUACUCGCAGAAUAAGCACCGGCUAACUCUGUGCCGGCAGCCGCGGUAAUACAGAGGGUGCGAGCGUUAAUCGGAUUUACUGGGCGUAAAGCGUGCGUAGGCGGCUUCUUAAAUCGGAUGUGAAAUCCCUGAGCUUAACUUAUGAAUUAGCAUUUCGAUACUGGGAA
rnacentral:rRNA from 1 species